rnacentral:lncRNA from 1 species
AGGUAGCAAGUUUCACAAGGUCAAAACAAAAACUAAAUACAAGCACUCCAUCAACCCAAGCUUCCGUGAUCUUAAGCAAAUCUGUAAAAUGGGAAAGAAGAAAGUUAGAAGAAGAAGACUAGAAGAAGAAGAUUAUUAUGAUGCAACUAAAAUGUGAAGAUUAUUAUGAUGCAACUUAUAUCUGUAAAAUAGGUCAUUUUGGAGCUAAGUAUGGUUAUUAUGUCAUUUUUGAGCUAGCUAAGCAUACUAAGUCAUUUUGGUGUAAAACAUGCUAAGGUCAUUCUAGAGCUAAGUAAGUUUAUUAUGUCAUUUUGGAGCUAGCUAAGCAUGUGAAGUCAUUUAGGAGCUAAAAUAUGUCAUUUCUUAAGCAUAUUAUGUCAUUUUAGAGUUAGCUAAGCAUAUUAAGUCAUUUUGGAGGAAAAAAUGCUAAGUAUAGGUCAUUUUAGAGCUAGCCUAGGUUGAAUAGGUCAUUUUGAAGCUAAGUAAGGUUAUUAUGUCAUUUUGGAGCUAGCUAAGAAUAUGAAGUCAUUUAGGACCUAAAAUAUGUCAUUUCUUAAGCAUAUUAUAUCAUUUUAGAGCUAGCUAAGCAUAUUAAGUCAUUUUGGAGGAAAAGAUGCUAAGUAUAGGUCAUUUUAGAGCUAUCCUAGGUUAAAUAGGUCAUUUUUAAGCUAGCUAAGCAUAUUAAGUCAUUUUGGAGGAAAAAUGCAAAGUAUAGGCCAUUUUAGAGCUAUCCUAGGUUAAAUAUGUUAUUUUGGAGCUAAUUAAGCUUAUUAUGUCAUUUUGGAGCUAGCUAAGCAUGUGAAGUCAUUUAGGGGCUAAACUAUGUCAUUUCUUAAGCAUAUUAUGUCAUUUUAGAGCUAGUUAAGCAUAUUAACUAAUUUUGGAGGAAAAGAUUCUAAGUAUAGGUCAUUUUGAAGCUAGCUAAGCAUAUUAAAUCAUUUUGGAGGAAAAAAAUGCUAAGUAUAGGUCAUUUUAGAGCUAUCCUAGGUUAAAUAGGUCAUUUUGGAGCUAAUUAAGCUAAUUAUGUAAUUUUUGAGCUAGCUAAGCAUAUUAAGUCAUUUUGGAGGAAAAAACUGCUGAGUAUAGGUCAUUUUAGAGCUAGCCUAGGUUGAAUAGGUCAUUUUGAAUCUAAGUAAGGUUAUUAUGUCAUUUUGGAGCUAGCUAAGCAUAUGAAGUCAUUUAGGACCUAAAAUAUGUCAUUCAUUCAGCAUAUUAUAUCAUUUUAGAGCUAGCUAAGCAUAUUAAGUCAUUUUGGAGGAAAAGAUGCUAAGUAUAGGCCAUUUUAGAGCUAUCCUAGGUUAAAUAGGUCAUUUUUAAGCUAGCUAAGCAUAUUAAGUCAUUUUGGAGGAAAAAUGCUAAGUAUCGGUCAUUUUAGAGCUAUCCUAGGUUAAAUAUGUCAUUUUGGAGCUAAUUAAGCUUAUUAUGUCAUUUUGGAGCUAGCUAAGCAUGUGAAGUCAUUUAGGAGCUAAACUAUGUCAUUUCUUAAGCAUAUUAUGUCAUUUUAGAGCUAGUUAAGCAUAUUAACUAAUUUUGGAGGAAAAAAUUCUAAGUAUAGGUCAUUUUGAAGCUAGCUAAGCAUAUUAAGUCAUCUUGGAGGAAAAAAUGCUAAGUAUAGGUCAUUUUAGAGCUAUCGUAGGUUAAAUAGGUCAUUUUGGAGCUAAUUAAGCUUAUUAUGUAAUUUUUGAGCUAGCUAAGCAUAUUAAGUCAUUUUGGAGGAAAAAAAUGCUAAGUAUAGGUCAUUUUAGAGCUAGCCUAGAUUGAAUAGGUCAUUUUGAAGCUAAGUAAGGUUGUUAUGUCAUUUUGGAGCUAGCUAAGCAUAUGAAGUCAUUUAGGACCUAAAAUAUGUCAUUUCUUAAGCAUAUUAUAUCAUUUUAGAGCUAGCUAAGCAUAUUAAGUCAUUUUGGAGGAAAAGAUGCUAAGUAUAGGUCAUUUUAGAGCUAUCCUAGGUUAAAUAGGUCAUUUUUAAGCUAGCUAAGCAUAUUAAGUUAUUUUGGAGGAAAAUGCUACGUAUAGGUCAUUUUAGAGCUAUCCUAGGUUAAAUAUGUCAUUUUGGAGCUAAUUAAGCUUAUUAUGUCAUUUUGGAGCUAGCUAAGAAUGUGAAGUCAUUUAGGAGCUAAACUAUGUCAUUUCUUAAGCAUAUUAUGUCAUUUUAGAGCUAGUUAAGCAUAUUAACUAAUUUUGGAGGAAAAGAUUCUAAGUAUAGGUCAUUUUGAAGCUAGCUAAGCAUAUUAAGUCAUUUUGGAGGAAAAAAUGCUAAGUAUAGGUCAUUUUAGAGCUAUCCUAGGUUAAAUAGGUCAUUUUGGAGCUAAUUAAGCUUAUUAUGUAAUUUUUGAGCUAGCUAAGCAUAUUAAGUCAUUUUGGAGGAAAAAAUGCUAAGUAUAGGUCAUUUUAGAGCUAGCCUAGGUUGAAUAGGUCAUUUUGAAGCUAAGUAAGGUUAUUAUGUCAUUUUGGAGCUAGCUAAGCAUAUGAAGUCAUUUAGGACCUAAAAUAUGUCAUUUCUUAAGCAUAUUAUAUCAUUUUAGAGCUAGCUAAGCAUAUUAAGUCAUUUUGGAGGAAAAGAUGCUAAGUAUAGGUCAUUUUAGAGCUAUUCUAGGUUAAAUAUGACAUUUUAAAGCUAGCUAAGCAUAUUAAGUCAUUUUGGAGGAAAAAUGCUAAGUAUAGGUCAUUUUAGAGCUAUCCUAGGUUAAAUAUGUCAUUUUGGAGCUAAUUAAGCUUAUUAUGUCAUUUUUGAGCUAGCUAAGCAUAUUGAGUCAUUUUGGAGGAAAAAUGCUAAGUAUAUGAUUAUGUCGCUAGUAUCCAUAUGGCAGAGAACCCGGGCCGACAUGACUAGUCAUAGAACCAAGGUGGCACAAACAUACAGGGACAGGCAUACAUGACCCAGCAAUGCACGUGUCGGUCAUCAGCGAGUGCAACCAAGUCGUAGCAUGCUACAAGGACUUCGGUGAUACACCGCGUGACAUUUCCCCGUAGGGACAGACACAGGAGCAAAGAAGGACACAUGCCGGUCAAUCCAUGUGUUCUGGAGCAGUAGCGAACUACCAUGGCUCAGUGGAAGCACUAGGAGGCAUUUCCCUGUAUGGAAGGCUAACAAAGGAACACGACUAGGUGUCGAAUCCCACACAUACAAUGCAUUUCAAACAUACACACAUUAUGCAUGAUAUGUAUAGAUACAACAUGGCAUCACAACAAAACUCUAUUAAGCAAAACACUUGGGAAACUUACCGUCAUCACGGAGGUGUAGGUGUAGGUGUAGGUGUAGGACCGGUCGCGCCAGUGGCAGACGGAGAAGGAUCGAUCGAUGCUUGUCGGGAGUUACGCUGCACCAAAGAUUAUUUCCAAUGUAUCGUUAGCAUGAUGCAACUCAAAUGUGAAGACUAGUAACUAAUGACUGUUCAAAUGAAACUCACCGUGCCCGCCGGAGCAAUGACUGGCAUCGGCGGAGGGGUCUGGCCGUUCUUCUCGCACAUGGACUGCACAUUUGGUUUUGAUGAGUCAGUCAUAUUAGUUACUAAUGAAAGGAACAUUGCGUGCAUGAUUUAGCUAAUAUGCAGAAGAAACUUA